UUCUCUGAUUUUAAGCACUGAGUGGACUAAUAAAAAAAAAAAAAAAAACAAAAAAAAAAAAAAAAAAAAAAAAAAAAAAUCUGUUCUUAUCAGUUUAAUAUCUGAUACGUCCCCUAUCUGGGGACCAUAUAUUAAAUGGAUUUUUGGAACAGUGGAGAUGGAAGAAGAGCUUGCUCUGUCCACUCCACGCAUCGGACCUGGUAUUGCAGUACCUCCAGGACCGGUGCAACCUCU
rnacentral:snRNA from 1 species